GUGGGGAAUCUUGCGCAAUGGGCGAAAGCCUGACGCAGCCAUGCCGCGUGAAUGAUGAAGGUCUUAGGAUUGUAAAAUUCUUUCACCGGGGACGAUAAUGACGGUACCCGGAGAAGAAGCUCCGGCUAACUUCGUGCCAGCAGCCGCGGUAAUACGAAGGGGGCUAGCGUUGCUCGGAAUUACUGGGCGUAAAGGGCGCGUAGGCGGACAGCUUAGUCAGAGGUGAAAGCCCAGGGCUCAACCUUGGAAUUGCCUUUGAUACUGGCUGUCUUGAGUUUGGGAGAGGUGAGUGGAACUCCGAGUGUAGAGGUGAAAUUCGUAGAUAGUCGGAAGAACACCAGUGGCGAAGGCGACUCACUGGCCCAAUACUGACGCUGAGGCGCGAAAGCGUGGGGAGCAAACAGGAUUAGAAACCCCAGUAGUCC
rnacentral:rRNA from 1 species